CCCAGCUGAACACCACAGUGGUAUUCUUACAGCACACCUGCGCAGGCAGGAUUGUCAAGCUAAACUGGAAUUCGUUUUAUCUCUCCACUGCAGGUGAAAAUUAAAAGUUAAAACCAGAAAGAAGCAACACAGGUCUUCUGGCUAGCAACCACUCUCUUGAUAAAAGAUGACAUGCAGCUGCUCUUAUCAGGGUAAAGGCUGCUGCCAGAGAGGGUCAAGUUUCCUUCUUUGGCAGAAUACUUUUAAUUAAGGCACACCCAUAAACACUGGAAUGUUGGAGGAUGAUGUUUAUUGGAGCUGCUGCUGCAUGCUUGCUGAACUCAACCAUUGCUGCAAGAUCAGAACUAGAACCAGACAAACACAAACAAUUUGGCUUUGGGUUAUGACCCAUGAAUAAGCACCACUCAAUAUGGUUAGAGAAUGGCCAUUCUCCCAUCUGCUGUUUGAUUUUCUUGUCCUUCCUGUGGAAAACAAACAAACAAACAACCAAACCAACAACAAACAUGCAUGAGUUCAGGAGACCUGGGAUAUCAGACACCUGAUUUCACUGCAUGAAGACCUUUUUGUUGAAGUGACACAAAAGACAACAUCCGUCUCUAAGACCUGUUCACUCAAAGGGGUGAGUCACCCUUACAUCAGGAGCUUUGUGUGGUCCAGGCCAGAGCUGGUAGCAAAAUCUUGAAACAGCAGGCCUAGGAGAGCUGAAAGUACCCUGAAAGACUCCACCAGACUGUUUGCAGAGAAACCCUAUCUUUGUAAAAUGCUAAUCAGAGCCAGCAAAUUUCCAAGCAUCCCAAGAUGAGAAACUCAUCCACCUAGUACUCUGCUGAUGGUCUAGCAGGAGAUCCAUUUCUAGGCACCACUGUGCCUUACGACAUCCGGCUCACUCUUAGGACAUCUUUAAAUGUACAUGAUAAAAGAAGUUAAUAUAAAGAUAAAUUGUUUGCUGGAAGAAAAAAAAAAAAAAGGAAAUAAAGAGAAGAAACAAAAGAAAGAGUGAGCAAAGAGCAGAAGCCUCCUUGAUCUAGCCUUCACUUGGCUGAAUGGGAGGCACAGGUUCACAUUACACUCCUUUGGAAUGAUAAUCACACCCUUCUUUGAGGCUGACACACCACUGGGAGGAUUAUCUUUGCAGGGCAGCCCAGAUCCUUCUCACUGAUAAAGCUGCUGUAUCUGAAAAGUAUUUGGCAGAACUGUCACCACACACACAAACAGAGGAGCUGACUCCUAACCUCAGAGGCUUGGUAUGGGGAGGUGUCUGCAUCAGCUCCUGUGCCCUCCAGAUCAACUCUACAGAUCAUCACCUUUGCAACUUGGAGAAGAAAACACGGUUUCCUUGGGGAGCUUUGAGGUGGUUUUAUUAAUGGUUUCAAAACCUUCUGAGGUAACAUUUUCAAGGUAACAAGUUUUUUCUUCACCCAUUGCUUUCCCACCAACACCCACUUCUGAACAUACAGCUUUCUUCUGUCUCCUUGUGGGCUAAGAAGUCACCAAAAAAUUAUUAUUUUUUGCUUUUCUUUCCAAAAUUAAAAGAUACUGCUUCUUCUACCCUUGCAUGAUCAACUGUACUUAUUACUCCCUUUUUCUAGACUCCUUCUGAGUUAUGUCACAUAUCAUCAUUUUUCCCUAAACAUUUUCUGUUUAACAUUCCUGUUUAUUGGUAGAGCCUAAGCCAUAACUCAGUACUAUAGGGGAAGGUCUUCCCCUUGAGACCUUUCAUCAGGGGUGUAUAAUAACUGAGCAAUAACAUCAAAGAGUUUGGUUUCUACAUGAUGGCAUUGAUUCCCACUGUUUAUUGGAAGGCUCUCUCUCCAAGAGCAGUGGUUACAUUGUAUCUCAAGCAUCAUGGAAAUAAUGCCUGGCUACAUCUACUUGGCUGGCAUGUAGAAGUUUGAAUUUCUUCAAGUAACUUGUGUGCUUUGUUUCAUUUAGGGCUAAAAAGAAUCUGAAGAAAUUAUCCAGUAGAUGUGCUUCAUUGGAACUGCUCUGAUUUCUCAGAGAAAGAACUCUCUUUAUGGCCAAAUAAUGCUUAUGGGUAGAUUUGCCAAACAACGCUUUUCUUUCCAAGGAUCCAUAAAUCUCAGAGUACUUUUGAGAGUAAUAAAUGUUGCAAUAAUGUUGUUCUUGAUUACAGGCAAGACUGUAACAGCUCUGACUGGUAGUGAUUCCAUAAUUAUGUUUGAUUACAGACAGGCUCUGUGCAAUGCAAGGGGGUUAUUUGUUGCCUUCUAUCUGUCCUGGAUUCCACUGGGGACCGAGAUCACGCCAUGCCACAUACACAGCUUACUCAGCUGCCUUCCUCAGAGCGUUGUCACUAAAGCAAAGCAUUUAAUGGCAGGAGCUGGGAUAGUUGGGUGUGCAACACCUUUUAUGGAACUGUAAUUAAGCCACUAUGGAACUACUUCAAGUGAGGGCCACUGCCUAAGAGGAUCCUGAAUUUCAGCAGCCCUUGAGGACCUGAUCUUGCAUGCUUCAUAGUGUGCAGGGGCUAAAGUUACUCGUGCCUUUAUUGCAAGGACAGUAAGGGCCAAAGCGACAAUGAGAAAUAAACUGUACCUCUAACAUUGUCCACGCUUUCUAUUACUAAAGAAUUUUUUAAAAGGAAAAGCUCCAUGAAGUCUAAUAGCCCUCCCUCUGUCAAUGAACAAUAAA